GAGGGUAUGGCUCAGUGGUAGAGCGCAUGCCUAGCGUGCCUGAGAUCGUGGGUUCAAUCCCCAGUACCUCUG
rnacentral:tRNA from 1 species